rfam:Nicotiana attenuata strain TT chromosome 1, whole genome shotgun sequence.
UGGACAGAUUAUCGUAUUCGACUGUAUUCACGGCGUGAAAUAUGGGAUUACACUGUUUUUAAACGGAAAGUGAAUCAAUUAACAUAAUAGACUCCU